rnacentral:sRNA from 1 species
AUGCAGAAGUAAUAGUUAACCAGUUUGUAUUUGCCCAAUUUUUCAAACAGCAAGAAGUCAUAAAUAAUUUCCAAGAUAAAUUUUCUCUUGGUAUUUGUUGUCGCUUUAAUAACAACAAACUCACACAAACCAUUAGCAUGUACUACUACAGCAUCUGGUUGGAUUAAACACUGGUUGACGGUAAACACUGGUUUAAAAAUAAUCGCUGCUUUUUUGUUUUGUACUGCAGCUUCGAUUUGUUUUUCGGUAAAUUGGAUUUUUUCGGUAACAGUGGCUUUUAACCCUAAGUUGUCAGUGUCUAAAAUAUUGUCUAAGUGGAAAUAGCUAGCAAUAUCUUUUUUGGCCUUUUCAAUAAUGAUUUGUGCCUCUUUAACCCGAGGAUUUUUACUAUCAAAUAAUAGUUCUGGCGCUUCGUUGAGUAGCUCUAAAAUAUCUAUUUCAAAUACCGGAUCUUCAAUUAGAUCUUCUUGCACAUCAAUUUCGGUAUCGACCUGCUUAUGGUGCUUUUUUAACAAUUGACUAGCAGCGCCAAAAACAUCAGCGUAAGACAGAGGAAUCAACUCCUUUGAGCGAUCAAAGUUUUUUAAAAAAAAGGCCUUGGUGAGCAUUAAUGAAAAAAUUUACCUUCAGCAAAAGGAUGUUUACCGUUAAUUAUUUCUGACACUCCCAUUGCCCGCUUUCCCGGAAUUUGAAUUAUUUGGAGUAGAACAAUUUCAUCAUUAGCUAAGGCGAUUUCUAUACCUUGUUUAGAAAUUUUAGUGAUUUGACCAACUGCGGUUGUACUUGUCAUUUUGCCCAAGUAAGUUGCUUGGAGAAUUUUAAUGUUUUGUCCUUCAAAUUCCAGUCAACCACCAGGUUUAGGUGCCAACCCUUUCACCCAAUUGAUGAAUGCUUUUGGUUCCAAAUUGAGGUCAAGUCUUUCUUGUUCCUUUUUAAUAUUCAAACCAAAAGUAGGUGGAUUAAUUUGCUCUUUUCAUUGACUCUUACCACUUACAAUUUCCUUAAGGCACUGGAUCAGAAAUUGCGGUGCGUGAGUUUGCACGUAUUCAAAUAGAUCACCGGUAUUCCAAUUGGGAUUCACCUUAAAGUCCUUUUGCUUUCAAAUCGGACCAGCAUCCAUUUUUUGUACGAGUUCAAUCACACUUAAACUAGAGGUCGUAAAACCGUUAAUAAUGGUUCAGUGCAAUGGUGC